CGGAUGGGCUUUUAAGGAGAUGACAAAUGGGAUGCCGAUGAAAGCAGCCGAUAGAAGACUGGAAGGCGCAGUUAAAGAAGAAGAAUUGAUGAGAGCGCUGAAGGUUGCCUUCUGGUGCAUUCAAGAUNNNNNNUUCAAUGGGAGAAGUGGUGAGGAUGUUAGAAGGAUCAAUGGAGAUGAACACACCACCAAUGCCACAGACUGUCUUGGAACUAAUAGAGGAAGGAUUAGAUCACGUAUACAAGGC
rnacentral:misc_RNA from 1 species